rnacentral:siRNA from 1 species
GUGUCAAUGUAUUAUGGCCAUGAA